CCAUACAUGUUCUUCUAGUCCAAAGGAAUAUUUACCUUUCCCUAUAUAUCCUAUUUUGAAAAUUAUUAUGCAGGGUAUUUUAUAUUGUUAAAAUUUGCUCCAAGCCAAUCAAUCUUCUGAGCAUUGAGUAAACUUUCAGUAAACUUUUCAUUUCCAUUAUUUUCCUGGAAUUAUAAAACAAGGGAAUUUUCCAGACCUUGGCUACAUUAAACUAUGGGAGUGAGUUCCGGGCAAUGCAAGCCUACCGAGAGAAUUGAGCAAUUAAUAUAAAUAAUGUAGCAGUGGGUUAAAUUUAAAUGAAGAGGGUCCAUUUUCAUCCUGAAACAACUGCUACUUUGAAGAAAGCUUCGGAGUUCAAAGGAACAUUUUGCAAAACACACAACUUAAGCUUUCGGUAAUUCUCUUAGGAGUGCUAAAUCUCAGUUUUUCUGAGUGAAAUUAGAAAACACAAGGUUGUAUUUUUGUUGCCAGUUUUGUUCAGUUAGGCAAGGGGAUAAAAACAAUAAUGAUCUGAAGAAAAAUGAAUGACUGGAAAAUCCCAUUCCUACAUCACCUACAGCUUUCAGACUGGAACAGAUUGCUAACAUUUAAGGUUUGUUCAAAUCACAUCUGCACCCUGAAAGUCGUUUUCUCCCAUUGGUCUGCAAAACCUUGCAAUCUGCCACCAACAGGAACAUCCAAGCUGCUAUUUGUAUUUUCGAAACGGUCUGUUUGAUGAACCACGGAAUGACUGCUUGGUCUGUGGUUGAGCUCUUGCCUUGUAGUUGUUGCCUUGAGCUUGUUGAAAUUGUUGUCUCUGGCCAAAGUUUGGUUGAUCUCUUUGACAGGUCGAUCUGUAGAAAGGGGCACAAAAAGAUCGUGUGUAAUAGGGUGAGAAUUUGUUGUCUGUUUUCUUUAAGACUGAUGGCACUAUCUUACAUUUAUCCCGUGAUUCGAUGAGAACGGUAUCUAGGGAUGCCCCAAAUAGCUUUCCUAUGGUGCGGAUGCCAGCUUCCAUUUCUUCUUGGCAUCAGCCUGCCAAUAUCUGAGCCAGAGUGACCUGCGUGCGGCAACUGCCGAAGACAUGGCCUGAGAAGCAAAUUUGACAGAGUUUAAAGUUGCGUCUGCCGUAUAUUCUGAUGCAGCUAUGAUUUUGUUGAAAUCUAAAUGGGCUCUUAUAUUGUCUGUUGGUGCCUGCUGCUGCGUUUGUCUUAGCUGUAUCACAGCGGCCCUAGUAAAAACUGAUGCCGCUGUGGCGGUCUUGACCGCCCACGCAGCUGCCUGGUGUGUCUUUCAUCACAUUGAAUCAGCUUUUUUGUCUUCUCCUUUCAGGACAUCAUAAUCGUUGAGAGUAGUUGAAGAAGCUAACGCUAGCACUGGUUCAUCGACCUCAAUCCUACCUGAAUAAUCGGAGUGUUCAUCUUCUGAUGUAGCAGGAGAACAUGUUCUAGUAUGUCCAGGGGGGGUGGGAGUGUUUUCUACGGUGAGAGGGGCCUACUCUUGACUCUGCCUGUAUAGGAUAGUUCAUCUGAAAUUCCCCCAUCAUUUCCUGACCGAUCAUUUGGGUAAACCACUCCUGAACCACCAGUGGCAUUAAUUGUCCUCCUGGUUCAGCGUGUUGCGUUUGCACAGGUUUAGGCAACGAAUGAGCCAUAGAUACAGGAUUAUUCCAGUAAGAACACCCUGGCACUUCAGAAUCCUGCAUGUUUGUAACUGCUUGGGCCGAAGUUCCCAUGUCUGAUCCCACUUGGAAAAACAUUGGCUGAUUUGUGUGAUCCCCUUUGGGAGGACUUAACUUGUUCACUUGUUCUUUUGAAUUUUUUUUCUACUUGCUUUACCAACGCAUUGUGUAGUCUACGCUCAGCCAGCUCAUCAGCUUUAGUUUUUCUGCUAGCUCUGGCCCUGGCUCUGAGUUUGUCAGCUGCCUCCUGUGCUGAUCCUUUGGUCUUACAGAUUCUUUUACCCCUAUCUUUCUGCUGGGUGGGAGCGAUCUGCUGUGGAUAGAGUGCGUUGGAAGAUUCCUUCAUAACGUCUGUAAAUGCCUGUACUAGUACUGUGACUAUAUUAAAUAAAGGUAAAAGUACAAUUAAUUAGUCUGUAGUAAUCUUUUAAAAAGUCACUAUUAAUAAGUUAAUAAUAAAUGGUUUAGGGAGACAAAAAGAAAUUUUUCUUUUUUUUGAGGCUUUGCCCCUGAGGACUGAAGACAAGUAAAAAAACGCCUCUAUAAUCAGAUUGAGUAAAGUUCGGGUUGUAAUGCACUUGUAACUAGGCAGAAAAUGGACGCCUCUACAAAAUGGCGCUCCCGCCAAAAUUAACCGCCGCCAUCAGACCCAACAGCUUUGCUCAGACAGUUCCGUUGCUGGAACCUCGUUGUUGCAGGCACAAGAGCUCUACUUAGACUGCGCUCCCUUAUAUGGGCACGCUGUCUUACAGGCUUUCGUUCCGGGGGCCCUCUGAUAUCGAUCUUUAGAGCGGUCUCUUCACCCGCUGUUUGGCACGAAACCAGCCAUUCCGCAUUAAAAUCAAAUAAAGGUGCCUUUUGCGCUCGGCUGUCUAGCGCUCCCUCAUAUGGGCAGGCUGCCCAGCCGGCGAAACGAAGCCUCUCUGACGCUCCCCAAUCCCUAUUCCAGAUAUUCAUUUGCAAAGGCUGACAAAAAAGAGAGGCUUAUGAUCACGGUAAUCACCCAGGCUAUUGAAAAAGGCUAUGGUGCAAUUAGUCCCGUAAGGACUGUUGUGUGGUUAGUCCAAAAUAACAAAUUUAAAUAAGAAAAAUACUACAAACACCCCUCUAUCAAUAAAAUACAGAGGAGCAAGAUUAAGCACAUCUGUCUUCGCCAAGACUGAAUAGAACUGGAGACGGUGCCCUGGAGGGGGUGUGUCUUCAAUUUUUCUAUUCGGUCUGGAGCCAAAUGGAACUGAGUACUUCCCAUGCAUGGAUCCUGUCAAAACCGUUCUGGAGAAUAUGCCAGUUUCUUACCCGAAUAAGUUGCAUGUGCAGUUAGAUCAAGAUUUGUGAUAUUUAGGCAAGGGAUGCAGAAGAAGGCAUUUAUAGGAACAGAUUUGACUUUCCAUGCCUCCUUGGAAGCCUAAUCCGCUUAGUAAACUGUUGAGUUUCAUCGAGACAGUUUCUUCUCCAAAUAAUGUUCAACUUCCUUAAAUAUUCAGUGCUUUUGGAGAAGACAAGUUCUUUAUUUUUGUGCAUACUAACAAAUUAUCCCAAAAUAGUGAAGCUGUCAUUUUUGGGGUGGCUUUUUGAUUAUAAAAUAGCUUGGUGUUAGAUGGAAUGGAAAAGAAAUGUGGUGCUGUGUUCACUUGGCUUCUAAACCAUGAAGGGAACAUCCAAGUUUAGCAUUAAAUGAUAUAGUGCAGGUGGGCUGCUGUGGCUUCAGUUUACCUCUGGUGAGACUUGCAAUUUUUUUUUAUUGCGGCUGAUCUCUGAGCAAUGAUCUGCCAAUCAUCUUUGGGAAGACAUAAAUUCCUAAAGCACCCAUCCCAAGAUAACAUCCUGUAUUGUCUAAUUCCCAGAAUGCUCCAGCAUACUAGCCUCGUCUGAAAGAUACCAUAUCUUUAAUUGCUAAUCUAGCAGAGAUAAAUUUUAUCACUGACAAAGGGCAUUGCUGCAUCUCUAAAUUAUGGUGCAGAUGUGUUUAUUUAUGUGGUUAAGUAGCAUUCAUUUUAUGUGAUUAGUAAUGUUUUCAUUCAUGUUAGUACUGAAUUUUUAACAGGCUGUUUGCCUGCUUUAUUAAAUUAGAAAAAAAAUGUUGGCUCAACUGUAUAUCACAAUUUGAUAAGCACCAGUGAAAAAUAAAAUGUUCUAGUGUGCCAAGAGCAUUAUUUAAAAGCAAAACUGUCUUUAAUUGAAUAUUGAUCUUAAUAUUUGUUAUUUAGCUCAGCAUCGCUCCUGCAUCACUUUUUUAAUUGAGAAAGGAAUUUACACCUGCCUAU